AGCAGUAGCCAACUGCCACUCUGCAACUGCCACUCUGCAACGGCUUCCCACACUCCUCCAUUGUUGGUGGGAUUGCAAGCUUGUACAACCACUCUGGAAUUCAGUCUGGCGGUUCCUCAGAAAAUUGGACAUAUUACUACCGGAAGAUCCAGCAAUACCUCUUCUGGGCAUAUAUCCUGAAGAUGCCCCAACCGGUAAGAAGGACACAUGCUCCACUAUGUUCAUAGCAGCCUUAUUUAUAAUAGCCAGAAGCUGGAAAGAACCCAGAUGCCCCUCAACAGAGGAAUGGAUAUAGAAAAUGUGGUACAUUUACACAAUGGAUUACUACUCAGCUAUUAAAAAGAAUGGAUUUAUGAAAUUCCUAGGCAAAUGGAUGGACCUGGAGGGCAUCAUCCUGAGUGAGGUAACUUAGUCACAAAGGAACUCACACAAUAUGUACUCACUGAUAAGUGGAUAUUAGCCCAGAAACUUAGGAUACCCAAGAUAUAAGAUACAAUUUGCUAAACACAUGAAACUCAAGAGAACAAAGACCAAAGUGUGGACACUUUGCUCCUUCUUAGAACACCCAUGGAAGGACUUACAGAGACAAAAUUUGGAAGUGUGACGAAAGGAUGGACCAUCUAGUGAUUUCCAUAUCCAGAGAUCCAUCCCAUGAUCAGCUUCCAAACGCUGACACCAUUGCAUACACUAGCAAGAUUUUGCUGAAAGGACCCAGAUAUAGCUGUCACUUGUGAGACUAUGCCAGGGCCUAGUAUACACAGAAGUGGACGCCCACAGUCAGCUAUUGAAUGGACCACAGGGCCCCCAACGGAGGAACUAGAGAAAGCACCCAAGGAACUAAAGGGAACUGCAACCCUAUAGGUAGAACAACAAUAUGAACUAAGCAGUACCCCGGAGCUCUUGUCUCUAGCUGCAUAUGUAUCAAAAGAUGGCCUAGUUGGCCAUCACUGGAAAGAGAGGCCCAUUGGACUUGCAAACUUUAUAUGCCCCAGUACAAGGGAACUCCAGGACCAAAAAGGGGGAGUAGGUUGGUAGGGGAGUAGGGUGGUGGGUAUGGGGGACUUUUGGUAUAGCAUUGGAAAUGUAAAUGAGCUAAAUACCUAAUUAAAAAUGGAAAAAAAAAGACCUCAACAUUUCCUCUUUUUGUCUAAAUAAAAAGGCUCUUUCUUCAAUAAUAAUAAUAAUGAUAAUAAUGAACAUACAGUAUGGAAAAUAAUGAAAAGGACUAGAUAAGAGUUACAUUCAAAAAGUCCAAUCUGUUUGUAUUUGGCAACUAAGGAGAAAUUAUUAUAUUCUCUUUCUUAUCCUAGUAAGUUUAGAGUUCUGUAUCCAAACCAUGUUUUUUAUAUUCAAUCAUUUAAAUCCUCUAACUUUCAUAAUUUGUAAUUAUGAACCUUAAAACAUCUCCUGAGACUUUAAAACAUUUAUUUCCCUAGAUCUUUUAUAACUUACAUUUAAUUGUGAGACUGACUAUCUAGACUUCAACCCC
rnacentral:lncRNA from 1 species